rnacentral:rRNA from 1 species
GUGUCAGCAGCCGCGGUAAUACCAGCUCUCCGAGUGGUGGGGAUGCUUAUUGGGCUUAAAGCGUCCGUAGCUGGCUUUUCAAGUCUCUCGUUAAAUCCAGCGAUUCAAUCGUUGGUCUGCGGGAGAUACUGUUGGGCUGGGGGGCGGGAGAAGCCGACGGUAUUUCCGGUGUAGGGGUAAAAUCCUAUAAUCCCGGGAGGACCACCAGUGGCGUAGGCGGUCGGCUAGCACGCGCCCGACGGUGAGGGACGAAAGCUGGGGGAGCAAACCGGAUUAGAUACCCGGAUAGUCCCAGCUGUAAACGAUGCGGGCUAGGUGUUGGAGCGGCCACGAGCCGCUUCAGUGCCGCAGGAAAACCAUUAAGCCCGCCGCCUGGGGAGUACGGCCGCAAGGCUGAAACUCAAAUGAAUUGACGGGG